UGAGGGUUUUUUCCAAGAUUAUAUUUGGUACUUGAUAUGUUCUGAGUCAGUGCAUUGAACACCUGUAUAAUAAAAAUAAAAAUAGAUAAAGAUCUUUACUCUUACUUAAGAUCAUUAAAGACAGAUGGCUUUGAACAAAUAAUAAAGAGUGAUUAUGCUCUCCUGUAAAUUGUAAAUUCUCAAAUGACAUAUCACCCCAUCCAAAGAAAGCAAAAAGAGACAAGAA